UAGGGAAUCUUCGGCAAUGGACGGAAGUCUGACCGAGCAACGCCGCGUGAGUGAAGAAGGUUUUCGGAUCGUAAAGCUCUGUUGUUAGAGAAGAACGUUGGUAGGAGUGGAAAAUCUACCAAGUGACGGUAACUAACCAGAAAGGGACGGCUAACUACGUGCCAGCAGCAGCGGUAAUACGUAGGUCCCGAUCGUUGUCCGGAUUUAUUGGGCGUAAAGCGAGCGCAGGCGGUUCUUUAAGUCUGAAGUUAAAGGCAGUGGCUUAACCAUUGCACGCUUUGGAAACUGGAGGACUUGAGUGCAGAAGGGGAGAGUGGAAUUCCAUGUGUAGCGGUGGAAUGCGUAGAUAUAUGGAGGAACACCGGUGGCGAAAGCGGCUCUCUGGUCUGUAACUGACGCUGAGGCUCGAAAGCGUGGGGAGCAAACAGG
rnacentral:rRNA from 1 species